UCUGGUAGCUUUGGCAGAGAGGCCACACCUGUUCCCAUCUCGAACACAGUAGUUAAGCUCUCUAGCGCCGAUGGUAGUCGAGGUUUAACCUCCGCAAGAGUAGGACGCCGCUAGGC
rnacentral:rRNA from 1 species